AUACUAUCAGCGAUUUGCUUCACGAUUUCUGCACUGACGCACGAGAUAAAUGGCUAUAUCAAACAGAAACACUGACGAAGGAAUUGGAAAUAGUUUUCAAGAUGUCACUGUCUCUCUGUGUGAUUCGGUUAUGGGUUCGGUGCCUCGCCCCGAGUAGCCUGACAGCCCUGCGAAAGGAUGGAGGUGGUUAACAGGGGGAUAGUCGUAGGUAUGGCGUCUGUCCGGUGAUAGCUGUAACAUUGCAGAGUGAAGACGGGACCCUGAGGGAGACGUUCGACGGACUUGGAAAGGAUUGACAAUUAUUGAAUUCGUUCAAGAAAGAGUGAUCUGCAUGAGAUAGCCUCUACUAAAAGUGGCAGAAAGGCUGUGUAAGAUUCUUCUACGAAGGAAGGUCGGUGCCUUUAAAACUGUUUUGUUUCCGUCUCCGUGAAUCCUGUGGAAAAGGCAGGAUCCGACUGGGAGUGGCAGUGACGUCGUGUCUUCGAGGAAUUCGUUACUUCAUGAAAAUCUCUACUAAUUGACUGUAUAAAUCUAUUGGACUUUAAAAUUUGCCAUUCGAAGAACUGUGUUUGAAAUUAUGGCUUUAAGAACUGGUCUUGCUUGAUUGCUUUUGGAACUGAAUAGAGGUUUACCGAAUGGCCGCAUAGCCGUUUACUUCCGGUUAGGGUUUUCGGUUUUUUUUUCUUUGUAUAUCAGAAUUUAAUAAAUAUUUGUUUGUUUAUAAAUCUUGACUCGAUAUAUUCAUUGUUGCCGAUCACGUGACAUUAAUUGUGGGCUCUUCAGCAGAUGUUCCGAUUUUGAGUUUAAGUGCUUGUUUAAGUAUCAAAUCUGAUUUGGAAAAGGGAAUAUACUUGAUUCUUUUGUUUGAUUGUGGUGUGAGUGGUAUUCGGCAACAAUGGAUGUUGACGAGUUUAUGAAAACGCUAAACCCGGAGGUUUUAGUGAAUGCGAGUAAACCUGAGGUGUCGGAGAUUGCUGAAAGGUAGAAACUUAAAGGUAUUACAAAGGGUACAACUAAACCCAUAAUUCAGGAAAUCGCUGAGCAUUAUGUGAGUUUGGGGGCGUUUGAUGAGGAGGAGUUGGGAAGGUUUCUAAUGAGUACACUCGAAAUGCAGUUACAUCUUGAACAGAUAAAGUUUCAGAAAUUUAAAGCGGAAAUGGCUGAAAGAGAAACUGAGAACCUGAGGAAAUUUGGACUGGAGAUGGAGAAAUUGAAGAUGGAAAAUCGAUCUUCUGGUUCUAGGAAACAGUUUGUAGCAAGUCGUGAGGUUGUUUUGGCUCUUGCAUUUAAUGAGACAGAAGUGGAUAAAUAUUUCCAGCAUUUUGAAACUUUGGUUCUGUGUUCAGCGUGGCCGAAAGAGAAAUGGCCAGUGAUGUUACAAAGUGUAAUUAAAGAAAAGGCACAACAAAUUUAGACCCAAUUAAAUGCUGAGCAAGCACUUGAUUAUGAUACUGUAAAGCCGCCUAUAUUAAAGGCGUUUGAGCUGGUUUCAGAAGAGUACAGAGAGACAUUCAGAAAUUUGAAGAAACUAGUGGGAAAAAAAAACGUAUGUGGAAUUUGCCUCCGAGAAAUGUGUGUAUUUUUGAGAGAUGGGUUUCCUCUAAAAAUGUGAAUGGGGAGUAUAAUGAAUUAAAGGAGUUGAUUUUGUAGGAGGAAUUAAAAGGCAUUCCUGUUGAAGUGAGGACAUAUUUAAAUGAAAGGGACACCGCUACAUUGCAGGAGAUUGCUAAAUUGGCUGAUGAAUAUACUUUAAUUCAUAAGAGUAAAUGUUCUACAGGUUGAACAUUUAAAAGGAAAAAUAUCACAGAGAGUCAAAGUACACCAGAAAUUAAAUCAGAAGUUCGUGAGAACGGUAAGGAUGAAGGGAGACAUGUGAAGGAAAGACAUUUUGGUAUUAUUUACAAUUAUUGUAGGAAACCUGGUCACGUAAUAGCUAAUUGCUUUCGAUUGAAGAAGAAAGAGAUGGAAGCAGUCUCAGAUACUUGUGUGCAACAUAUUGAAAAACCUGUAAAGACAUAGGGUUCAGAAAAUACAAAUGAAGUUUUGUUAGAGUCUGACCGAGUUAAGAGGAGAUAAGAGCAUUUUAUAACUGAAGGAUUGUAUCCUUGAAAGAGGGAUCCACUCCUGUACCAAUAAAAAUACUUAGAGAUACUGGAGCUUCUCAAUCACUAAUAUGAGACAGUGUUCUAAAAUUAGUGAUGUGUCCGACACUACUGAGGUGACUUAUAUACGAGGAUUUGGAAGUGCCCUUACGUUGGUAUAUUUAUAUGCAGUUAAUUUAAGGUCAGUGUUAGUUAUAGGACCUGUUAAAGUAGGACUACAACCUAGUUUACCUAUGAAUGAUGUUGCCCUGUUGUUAGGGAAUGACGCAGCUAAUGGACAAGUUUUUUCCUGAUGUACAUUCGACAAUAAAGCAUAUUGCUGAGGAAACACAGAGGGAUUCUAACACGGAUACUUCCUGUGUUUUAACCCGAGCUAUGGGUAAGGAGACUGAUGUACCGGAUGAGGUUGUUACCCAUGACAAUCUCGGAAGGAGAUGAUAGAAGAGCAGGGUAGCGAUCUUGAGAUAGUUAAAUUAAAAGAACAAGCUCUUCCAGAUAGUUAAAUUAAGAAAGUGGCAGUAGGAUAUUAUUUUGAAAAGGAAGUAUUAACGAGGAAGUGGACUGCUACCUGUUGAUGAAAUUUUUCAGUCAUUAUUGAGGGUGAAACUUUGGAUUAUGUUGUAGUACGUGAUAGAACAGUCUCAAGCCCGCAGUGUUUUGUAUAGGGGAGAUCUUGACAAAGAAAUCCGUCAGAAACAUCUGAAAACAUUAAAAAUUUAUUGCAGGGCUCUGUGUUCAAACCACAUUCGGGCAUUCACAUUUAGAGCCGAAAACAGCCCGUUGAAAGUGGGGCGUUUGGAGGGGACUCAAAUGCAAGACACAGACAAUGAAUUUCUAGGAACUGGUCUAUGUUCAUUAAGAAUGCUCGGGAAGUCGGGGAGAAACGACGCUGGACAUUGACACAGGCGCUGGACGAGACUAGGAGAGAAGGGCUGGCCUAGGACCUGGGCUGGAAGCACGGGACCUGGACGUGGGAGUAGGAACAAGGAGCCUGGACUAGGAACACAGAACUCCGGAACUACAGCCAGGACAAGGACCCAGAACCUGGCUCUUGGUUGGGACUCGGAACUGGAACCUGGGUCUAGGCCAGGUCUCGGGACUAGGAUCUUGGCAAGAACAGGACAUGACCACAAGACUGAACGAGGUACACCCAGCACAAGACGAGUUACCCCCAGCCCUGGGCUGGGCGAAAAACAUGGACUGGAAGAAGCACCAGAACUGAAUGAGGACACGAAGUUCAGACUUGACAGGGCUGGAGCACGGGCGGCUGGACUUGGUGUUGGAACACAGGAACACAGAGCCUUGGACUUGAGCGCAGGAAUACGGAGACUUGGACUUGAGCGUAGGAACAUGGAGCCUUGGACUUGAGCGCAGGAACACGGAACACAGGGUCAGAACCCCUCCUUUGGAACAGGAUGCAGGGCCGGGACUCGUACACGGAAGACAGAGAUAUGACCCUUCCUUGGGACAGGACUUAGGGCAGGGGCAUUACACAGAGUCAGGACCCCUCCUUCGGAGCAGGACGAGUGGCCGGGACUCGUACACAGAACAGAGACUCUAAACACGGGGGCAGAAAGAGACUGUUCCAAACUCAACGAUAGAUAGUUUCUUAUCAUGGCGUGGCAAGGCUCCGGUCUCUCUCCGGCGGUUGAACUUUACUGAAGAGGUUGCAGGCGAGAAUUCAGAAGGAAGGGGAAGGGAACAGUCCAGCAGGGAAUCCUCGGUUGGUAGAGAUAUUUAUGUGGCAGCCUCAAAACGAGAAUCAGGUGCUUCAUUAAGGUACUCAAUGGAAUAAGGGAAAAUAGGAAAACCCGGAGUAAUGAAUCGAAGGACCGGACCAUGAACCGGAAUGCGGACUUCACGGACCGGACCAUGACAGUGUACCCCCUCCCCCUCCAGCCCCACUCUAUGUCAGCCUCCUGGCGACCUUACUGACUUUUCUAGACUAUGGACGACCCAGGCGGGUAGGGGGGUAUUCAACAGGAGGGAACACAGAAUGGCGAGAGUUAAACGUCAGUUUCUGCGUCGCUGUGUCCAUUUAUUACUGGGCUGUUCUGUUGCAAGCGGGGCGUUGAGAGCUGACACAAGUGAAUGACACAGACACUGAAGUUCCAGGAACUAGACUAUUUUUAUUAUGAAUGCCAGGGAACUUGGGAAGAAACGACGCUGGAAAUUGACACAGGCCUUGAACGAGACUAGGAUUCAGGUCCUGGGCUUGAACUUGGGCUAGAAGCACGGGACACGGACGUGGAAUUAGGAACAAGGAACCUGGACCAAGAACAGGGAACUCCAGAACGAGAGCCAGGACAAGGACCCGGAACCUGGUUCUUGGUAAGAACUCGGAACCGGAACGCGGGUCUACGCUGGGACUCGUGACUAGGAUCAUCGCAGGUACAGGACGUGAUACAGGAAUGGACGAGGUACCCCCAGACCUGUGCUGGGUGAGGAACUCCUGAGCUGGGCGAGGUACUCCUGGGAUGUGCGAGUUACUCCUGGGCUGGGCGAGGAAUUGCUGUGUUGGGCGAGGAACUGCUGGGUUGGGCGAGGAACAUGGACUAGAAGACGCACCAGAACUAAAUGAGGACACGAAGCUCAGACUUGGACAGGGCUGGAACACGGGCAGUUGGAAUUGGUCUUGGAACAGAGGAACACAGAGGCCUGGACUUGAGCACAGGUACACAGAGCCUUGGACUUGAGCACAGGAACACGGAAACUUGGACUUGAGCGCAGGUACACAGAGCCUUGGACUUGAGCGCAGGUACACAGAGCCUUGGACUUGAGCACAGGAACACGGAAACUUGGACUUGAGCGCAGGUACACAGAGCCUUGGACUUGAGCGCAGGUACACAGAGCCUUGGACUUGAGCACAGGUACACAGAGCCUUGGACUUGAGCGCAGGUACACAGAACACAGAGCCAGGACUCCUCCUUGGGAAUAGGACGUAGGGCCGGGAUUCGUACACAGAACACAGACACUAAACACGGGGACACAAAGAGACAGUUCCAAACUCAACGAUAGAUAGUUCCUUAUCUUGGCGUGGCAAGGCUCCGGUCUCACUCCGGCGGUUGAAAUUUAUGGGGAUACUGACGAGGUUGCAGGCGAGAAUUCAGAAGAAAGGGGAAUGGAACAGUCCAACAGGGAAUCUUUGGUCUACAGAGGUAUUUAUGUGCCAGCCCCAAAAAGAGAAUCAGGUGCCUCAAUUAAGGCACCCAAUAGAACAUGCGAAAACAGGAAAACCCAGAGUAAGGCAUCGACGGACCGGACCGUGAACUGGCAUGCGGACUUCACGGACUGGACCAUGACACAGCCGGUCAAACGGUCCCUUCCCUUUGAAAGAACAGCAUGAGGUGAGGGGAUUCACCACGGGAGAAUUUCCACCCUCUGUCAGCGUGAGCACCAUAACGAUACAUUGCCUCUGAUCUCUUUAUCGCCUCGCUCACAUAGACAAUGUACCAAAUGCACUUACUUGCCAAUUCCGAGCCUUUGGCCGCUAAUUGGCUUUGUAAACCAGGAUCUGAAGAAACCUCCGUCGGGUGCAGCGAGGUGAACUCAGAGACGUGGUUCACUGUCAGCUCAACAGGACGUACACAAUGCCGCCUCUGACAAAACGGAGAUUCAUCGUGCGUUCAUACGAGGUGUUGUCUUUAGAUGGGACAGUGAUAAUGGUCUGAAUCCGACAGUACAAGAUGUAACUUUGCAUGAAAGUGGGAUAAAGAUGCUGACUAACUUUGUCUGAGCGUCCAAAACGGGACACUACAUGGUGGCUCUGCUUUGCGCUGUCCGUGGCCUCGGAAGACCAGGAAUGACAUUGAGAUUAUUUGCUCGAUGGAGGGAUAGGGAGAGGGAAGAGAGGCUAGUGGUUAACCUGGGUGAAAUCUCAUGUUUCAUUUUUCCAGUGCUGUAUCUAUAUGGGGUUAAGAUGUUUGCUAUUGGUGACGUGGUGGAAGUGGUGGAUUCACCCUUGGAGUAAGUUUGCCUCACACUACGGGAGUGGGGUUGUCCUGUGUGGAGACAUUCUGCUGUCAUUGGAUAUUGGGAAACUGUGGGUUCGGAUGAGGAAGCUGUGCGCAUGAUAUGUUGGCUCCGGAAACAUGGCGACGCCUGCGGGCUGUCCCAGCACAUUCUAGGACGGUGUUGAUUAUGCUGCCGGGUAACCUUCCUUCUAGAAAACAUUGUGAGAGAAGAUCCUCAGCCCGUUGGUCAAUGAUCGCACAAAAGACCCAACUAAAUGCUUCGC